AGUGAACGCUGGCGAUAGGCCUAACACAUGCAAGUCGAACGGCGGCACAGUAAGAGCUUGCUCUUACGGGUGGCGAGUGGCGGACGGGUGAGGAAUACAUCGGAAUCUACUUUUUCGUGGGGGAUAACGUAGGGAAACUUACGCUAAUACCGCAUACGACCUACGGGUGAAAGCAGGGGAUCUUCGGACCUUGCGCGAUUGAAUGAGCCGAUGUCGGAUUAGCUAGUUGGCGGGGUAAAGGCCCACCAAGGCGACGAUCCGUAGCUGGUCUGAGAGGAUGAUCAGCCACACUGGAACUGAGACACGGUCCAGACUCCUACGGGAGGCAGCAGUGGGGAAUAUUGGACAAUGGGCGCAAGCCUGAUCCAGCCAUACCGCGUGGGUGAAGAAGGCCUUCGGGUUGUAAAGCCCUUUUGUUGGGAAAGAAAAGCAGCAGGUUAAUACCCCGCUGUUCUGACGGUACCCAAAGAAUAAGCACCGGCUAACUUCGUG
rnacentral:rRNA from 1 species